UACGUAGGGUGCGAGCGUUGUCCGGAAUUAUUGGGCGUAAAGGGCUCGUAGGCGGUCUGUUGCGUCGGGAGUGAAAACUCAGGGCUUAACCCUGAGCCUGCUUCCGAUACGGGCAGACUAGAGGUAUGCAGGGGAGAACGGAAUUCCUGGUGUAGCGGUGAAAUGCGCAGAUAUCAGGAGGAACACCGGUGGCGAAGGCGGUUCUCUGGGACGGUACUGACGCUGAGACGCGAAAGCGUGGGGAGCAAACAGG
rnacentral:rRNA from 1 species